GGUUGCAGAGAGGAAGUAGACCUGUGUAAGAGGAAUCAACUACCCCGAGAGUGUGAAUUAAGCUGCAACAGCUCUCUCGAUUUGAAGAAAUGCUUCGGCCGUUUUGGGAGGGUCCUCCCGUGCAUCUUGGAGUGUGUGAGCGAAGAGUGCCGUCAGUCUUCAGAGAGUGAGUGCCACCACGAGACUCCUUUCUGAACGUCUAUCACCAAAUUGCUUGUGUGUUCCUUUCUUGACUCUCCCUCUCCUUCCUCUUCUCCCCUCCAGCUGGUCGCCAUGGUGACACUCAGGCACGCAUCCCUGGGUGUGUCUGCAUAUACUACAAGCGGACGCACAAGUUGGGUCCCGUCUGUCCAGACCGGUUUUGCUGGGAGACGGUUCCAAUGAACAGAGACAUGAGAACCCAACAGCACCUCCCGGCCUUACUGGUGCCCCUGACACUCAUUCUUCUCCAGUCGUAAUCUUUCCUUUUCUCCAUUUCUCUCCUUGUCUUUCUCUGAUCGGCUAUACAACCUAAAAAAAAAAGGCAUUAACGUAUGUAUCAAACAUAACAUUGACAAUAUAUCUAAAAUAAAAUAAAAU